rnacentral:rRNA from 1 species
GACGUAGGGCGCGAGCGUUGUCCGGAUUUAUUGGGCGUAAGGAGCUCGUAGGCGGUUUGUCGCGUCGUCCGUGAAAACUCACAGCUUAACUGUGAGCUUGCGGUCGAUACGGGCAGGCUAGAGUUCGGUAGGGGAGACUGGAAUUCCUGGUGUAGCGGUGAAAUGCGCAGAUAUCAGGAGGAACACCGGUGGCGAAGGCGGGUCUCUGGGCCGAUACUGACGCUGAGGAGCGAAAGCGUGGGGAGCGAACAGG